rnacentral:snoRNA from 1 species
UCUCACAAUGUGAUGAGACGGGGGGUGUCAGGCAGCAGGCCGCCUGACAUGCAGCCAGGGCGCAGGCACACUACCUCGGCCACUUCAAUCAUCGGUCACAGACCUGUCAUGGACCGGUCACAGACCAGCCUGAUGUGUGG